UGCGUAGGCGGCUUGGUAAGUCAGAUGUGAAAUCCUGGGGCUCAACCUCGGAACUGCAUUUGAUACUGCCAGGCUAGAGUACUGGAGAGGAGACUGGAAUUUACGGUGUAGCAGUGAAAUGCGUAGAUAUCGUAAGGAAGGCCAGUGGCGAAGGCGAGUCUCUGGACAGUAACUGACGCUGAGGCACGAAGGCUAGGGGAGCAAACG
rnacentral:rRNA from 1 species